ensembl:lncRNA
GGGAUUUGUUUAAAAGAAGGAGCAACCAAAAAAGAGCAUAAGGAAUAUUAUGUUAGGGCUUAUACCAGCCAUUAGUUCUGAUUACUGGGGAGCUUUUGAGGAGCAAAAUUGCAGUGAUGAUUGGAAUCGCUUUCAGAGUUUCUUGGCUUUGUUGCCUGCUAAUUGGCGGGAUAACCUGUUCUACAUCAAGUGAUGGGUAUCCUGCACCAGGUUCUGAUGCAGCAUGGCUCUAUACAGGCCCACUUAGGUCUAAAGGAUAUGGUAAUUUCAACUCUCCAACAGCUCAAUUGCAAGCGCAGCUGACCGAAGAGCAACAUGCACAUCUGGAAGCCAUCCUCCAAAAUCAACUGGCCCCCAUGCCCCAGGCAUCUCAGAAAAUGUGGUAUCCAACUCAAAUGCCCCAGCAGGAAAAGCAACCGGCCGCCAUGAGCCAAAAGCAGACGCUACCGGCCAGUUAUCCUAAGCAGCCUCAAGCAGUGUUGUAUCCAGCUCAAAUGCCCCAGAAGCAACCAGUUACUGAACUUCUGCAUCAGAAGGAACUGGCCUCCAUACCUCAGCAAGUGUGGCAUCAAGUUCAAAUUCCUCAGCAGCAAAAGCAACCAGCUACUGGUCCUCAGCAGCAGACGGAACUGACCACCAUGCCCCAGAAGCAACCGGCUCCAAUGCCUAUACCGCAGAAACAACCAACAGCUAUGCCCCAGAAAGCAUGGUAUCAAGCUCAAAUGCAGCAAAAGCAACCGGCCACCAUGCACCAGCAAGUGUGGCAUCCAGCUCAAUUGCCCCAGCAGCAAAAGCAACUGGCUACUGAACCUGAUCAGCAGAAGGAACCGGCCACCAUGCACCAGCAAGUGUUGCAUCCAGCUCAAAUGCUGCUGAAGCAACUGACUGCCAUGCCCCAGCAAGUGUGGUAUCCAGCUAAGCCCCAGAAGCAACUGGCCGCUGAUCCUCAGGAGCAGAUUGAACUGACCGCCAUGCCCCAGCAACCUCAGCAAGUGUGGUAUCCAGCUCAAAUGCCCCAGAAGUAACCAACCGCUGAUCCUCAGUGGCAUCCAGCCAAAUUUCCCCAGGAGCAACCAGUCCCUAUGCGUCAACUGCAGAAGGAACUGACUGCCAUUCCACCACAACUGUGGCAAUCCGCUCAAAUUCCCCAGCAGCAUAAGCAAGUGUGGCAACUGGCCCCCAUGCCCCAGCAGCCUCAUGAUGUGUGGUAUCCAGCUAAAAUGGUCCAGAAGCAACAAGCAGCUGCAACUCGGCGGCAGAAGGAACUGACCACCAUGCCUCAAGAGUGGCAUCCAGCUCAAUAUCCCCAGCAGCAGAAGCAACCAGCCCUAAUGGUUUCACCGCAGAAGGAACUGACCGCCAUACACCAGCAAGAGUGGCAUCCAGCUCAAAUGCAGCAGAAACAACAGGCCACCAUGCCCCCGCAAGUAUGGCAUCCAGCUCAAAUGCCUCAGGAGCAAAAGCAACCAGCUACUGAACCUCGGCAGCAAAUUGAACCGACCGCCAUGCCACAGCCACCUCAGCAAUUGUGGCAUCCAGAUCAAUUUCUCCAGGAGCAGAAGAAACCAGCCCCUAUGCAUCUACCGCAGAAGGAACUGACCGCCAUUCCACCACAACUGUGGCAAUCCGCUCAAAUUUUACAGCAACAUAAGCAACCGGCUGCCAUGCUUCAGCAAGUGUGGCAUCGGGCACAGAAGCAACCGGCCCCUAUGCCCCAGCAGCCUCAUGACGUGUGGUAUCCAGCUAAAAUGGUCCAGAAGCAACAAGUCACUGCACUGACCGCCAUGCCGCAGACACAUCAGCAAGUGUGGCAUCCAGCUGAAUUUCCCCAGCAGCAGAAGCAACCGGCCUCCACGCCUCUACCGCAGGAGCAACCGACCGCCGUACCCCAGCAAGUGUGGUAUCCAGCUCAAAUGUCACGGCAGCAACUGGCCUCCAUGCCUCUACAGCAGAAGGAACUGACCGACGUGCCUCAGCAAGAGUGGCAACCAGCUCUACCGCAGAAGCAACCGGCUGCUGAACCACAGCAGAACGAACCGGCCACCAUACCCCAGCAAGUGGGGAAUCCAGCUCAAAUGUCCCAGCAGCGGAAGCAACACACUGCCAUGCCACAGCACCAACUGACCCCCAUGCCUCAGCAAUUAUGGCAUGUAGCUCAAAUGCCCCAGAAGCAACUGGCCCCAAUGUCUCAGCAGAAUCACUACGAAAGCACUGAAGAUGGUGCCUUUAGUAGCACUCAGGCCAGCAUCGUUGAACAGUCGGGUGUCAUCCCAAUCUAUUCCUACAGUUCCAAAUCUCACUACGAGAAUGGCAGAACUGUCUUCUCCCAAACCCGCUACACUCCUAGGGAGGCUAUGCCUGUUGACAGUGGAAGUGCUCCCAAGGACAGUUUUGUUGGUACUGGUGCACCUAGCGUCUAUCCAUCACUAGUGAAGGAUUCUGCAAGGUAAUGGUUCACUUUAACCUGCUCUGAACUUUGCUCUCUGAAUUUGAAGUCCUUUGUACUAACCAUAUCUUUCAACAGGAAAAUGUAAUGGAUUCAUCCUCUAGAAGCUAAUGGUGAGAAUUGUUUUUGACAUUGGUUACUUAACAUUCUAUGUUGUUGACACUAAAUUUCUUUCUGCUUUUGUUUUGACCAGGAAGUGCCUGGUGCUCUUGCUACUCUAGCGUGAGGGAGUACAUGAACAGUUCUACUUCCAAAAAUGCCCUGUCUCUGUGAAAUAAUGGUUCUCCUGUCCAUUGCUUGCUAAUUGAGAACAGGUGGUGUGCAGUCUGUAGUAAAAAUGACUGUUCAGUUAAUUAUUUUGUUUUCUAAUCUUUUACCUUUGCUACUGGUUGUUCAAAAUAAAAGCUUGGGUCUACAUUUGUCAAGGGGUGAGUUGUCAGACAUUCUUCGUAUGUUCAUACUUUAGAUGUAGGCAUGCAUUGUAUACAGUGAGACUGUCUUCAACCUCAGUCCAAGUUGUUGGUCAGUAAGAUAACAAAUAAGGAAUAGUUUUUAGAUGGUCAGACCAUGGCUCAUCUAGCUACUAGAAUUGAGUGACCAUUUGGUUUCAAAAUUGCAUUUGGCCUUAUACUAUAGCCCAUACCACAAAUGGCAGAGUUAAAUCAGUUUAGGAGUGUCUGUUCCAUAUCUAGUUGACUCAAAUGUUAUUUUGGAUGCUUCUACCUCCAUACUUCUGUUUGUAUGGGUUACCUGUCUUACAAUUGUGGGGUCAUAGAGGGAAACGUAACUAUGUUCGGGAGUCAAUUUCCCAUAACGGUCCGUUUGUAGGCCAAACCGUUCUGAAGCUAUAGAUGUUUUUGAGACUGCAUUUUUGGGGUGUCUGACCAACACCACUGUAGCUCGGCCCCUGUCCACUGCAGAUGCAUAAGGGCGACAGGCGGCUGCAGUGGCUUGAGACGCAGCCCAUUCAAAAUGUUCUAGCUUCAACUGGAUUUUGAUGGGCCUUUUACUUUGACUGCCUCAAUACUCUUCACCUGUAGCCCAUUCCUCCUAGUCCAUUUAUUGUACCACAGGCUCCUAUGGAAUGGAUUCGGUGUAUUUGAUUUCUACAAUGGUUUAACCUAUCAAUUAACAAAUAUAUUCUGUAUAGACUAUCUUCAAACAUGAUCAUUUUCCUUAAGAUAUUAUUAAUCUCACUGCGUAUUGUGAGAAUUCAGCCCUUAAAUGGAUCCAUUAAGUUCCAAAGUGGAAGCUGGAAGGCACUAGCAUGACAGUUCAGCUAGCAUAAGAUGUCACCCAGGACUUUUGCACAACUUGACAUAUUUGCAUGUUGUAGUUGACUCUGUUUGGCCAGACUCAUGAACAUGAAUGAAAUUGUAUAUGCAUUGAAUUUUCUACAAGAAGUUACACUUUGUCCAACAGCAAUCUCAUGUCUAG